CCUACGGGAGGCAGCAGUGGGGAAUAUUGCACAAUGGGCGCAAGCCUGAUGCAGCGACGCCGCGUGAAGGAUGAAGGUCUUCGGAUUGUAAACUUCUAUCAGCAGGGAAGAAUAAAUGACGGUACCUGACUAAGAAGCUCCGGCUAACUACGUGCCAGCAGCCGCGGUAAU
rnacentral:rRNA from 1 species